rnacentral:ncRNA from 1 species
CUCUUCAGGGCAGGGUGUAAUUCCCGACCGGCGGUAAAGUCCGCGAGCCGAUCUUCGGCAUGACCCGGUGCAACUCCGGGACCGACAGUACAGUCUGGAUGUGAGAAGGU